AUGAGGCGAACCGGGGGAACUGAAACAUCUAAGUACCCCGAGGAAAAGAAAUCAACCGAGAUUCCGAAAGUAGCGGCGAGCGAAAUUGGACUAGCCCUUAAGCUUUAUAUGCGUUAGACGAACAGCCUGGAAAGGCCGGCGAUACAGGGUGAUAGCCCCGUAGUCGACAACGCACAUUCAGUGAAAUCGAGUAGGGCGGGACACGUGAUAUCCUGUCUGAAUAUGGGGGGACCAUCCUCCAAGGCUAAAUACUACUGACUGACCGAUAGUGAACCAGUACCGUGAGGGAAAGGCGAAAAGAACCCCUGUGAGGGGAGUGAAAUAGAACCUGAAACCGUGUACGUACAAGCAGUAGGAGCAGGCUUGUCCUGUGACUGCGUACCUUUUGUAUAAUGGGUCAGCGACUUAUAUUCAGUGGCAAGGUUAACCAUCUAGGGGAGCCGUAGGGAAACCGAGUCUUAACUGGGCGCUCAGUCUCUGGAUAUAGACCCGAAACCAGGUGAUCUAGCCAUGGGCAGGUUGAAGAUUGAGUAACAUCAAUUGGAGGACCGAACCGACUAAUGUUGAAAAAUUAGCGGAUGACUUGUGGCUAGGGGUGAAAGGCCAAUCAAACCUGGAGAUAGCUGGUUCUCCCCGAAAGCUAUUUAGGUAGCGCCUCGGACGAAUACUACUGGGGGUAGAGCACUGUUAAGGCUAGGGGGUCAUCCCGACUUACCAACCCUUUGCAA
rnacentral:rRNA from 1 species